UACAGAGGGGGCAAGCGUUAUUCGGAAUUAUUGGGCGUAAAGGGCGCGUAGGCGGCCUGGCAAGUGGAAGGUGAAAUCCCUCGGCUUAACCGAGGAACUGCCCUCCAAACUGCUUGGCUUGAGUCCGGGAGAGGUGAGUGGAAUUCCCAGUGUAGCGGUGAAAUGCGUAGAUAUCGGGAAGAACACCUGUGGCGAAGGCGGCUCUCUGGGACGGUACUGACGCUGAGACGCGAAAGCGUGGGGAGCAAACAGG
rnacentral:rRNA from 1 species